CACCAACCAAAUCAUAAUAACCAACCUUAUUAUAAUAAUAAAUCUCAAUAUUACCCAAAUUACAAUUACAGACCUUCAUAUCAAUACCAACAAAAUUAUAGACCUUCCUACCCACACCAGCAACCAAUCUAUCCACAUCAACAAUAUCAAGGUUACUAUCCUUCUUAAGCUAGAGAUGCAAUGACAACACCACCACUACAGAACAUACAAAGACCACAAGCAUCACCAUAUUUUAAAACACCUUCAUCCAUAGACCAAACACAAGCUUGUCAGAUCUGUGACAAAAAAGGACACCUAGCAAAGCAGUGUCCAGACUACAAUAACUACUCAGCCCUAAACACUACUGAAACUAAAACAUCAUAACCUCCUUGCCUAACACAUCCAGCUCAUCAUCAGUCGACAACCCCUCAAGUCUAUACAGAACAAUAUCAGUUACCUUCACAACAUGAAUUGGCCAUGCCAGCUGCUUCUAUACAAGAGGACACAUCUUGGUGUCUUGACUCUGGAGCAUCCAACCACAUAACACCAGACUUGACUACCUUCACUGCAUAUGAGACAGCACCAGGUACUCAAUAUGUAAUUGUAGGUAGUGGUGAUUAUUUACCUGUGAAAUAUAGAGGAAAAAUUAUAAUCUAGAUGGUGUAUUGUGUGUUCCUGGACUAAAAAAAAACUUAAUGUCAAUUCAAAAAUUAUCUAGAGAUUUAAAUUGCAUUAUUGUUUUUAAUGACAAAAACUUUAUGGUUAAGGACCAGGGCACUAUGGAGACAUUAUUUUCUGACAAUAGCUCAGAAGGAUUAUACCACAUCUAUCCGGACAACCAAGCUUGUUAUGGAAUGAAAGCUUCAAAAGAGAUGUGGCAUGACAGAUUGGGACACCCAUCUGAAGCAGUUCUGAAACAAAUGGAGCCAGAGCUAAGGAUUAAAGAAUUAGAAGGAAAGAAUAAAGAAUUUUGCAAAGUAUGUCCCCCAGGAAAAGUCCAUCAAUUACCCUUUGAUAGAAGGAAUGUAAUAGCAUUAACUCCUUUAAAAAUAAUACAUAUCGAUCUGUGGGGUCCAUCCCCAAAGAAAUCUGUAACUAAUUUUAGAUUCUAUGUAUCAAUAGUUGAUGAAUGUACAAGGUUUGUAUGGUUUUACCCAUUCAAUAAUAAAUCAGAUUUUUUCUCUAUUUUUGUUAAGUAUCAUAAUUUAGUAGAAAGAUAUGUGAGACAGAAAAUAAGAGAAAUACAAACUGACCAAGGAGGGGAAUUUAUAAAUGGAAAAUUCAAGAAAUACCUAGAAGAGCAAGGAAUAAACCAUAAAAUGUCAUGUUCAUAUACCCCCCAACAACAUGGACUAGUAGAAAGGAGACAUAGACAAAUAUUAGAAGUUGGGAGAUGUCUGAUGAUUAAAUCUAGUAUACCACAUGAAUAUUAGCCAGAGGUAUUCUCCUCUGCUGUCUACUUAAUGAACAGACUAAAAACACCUACCUUAGACAACGAAGAGUCCUUAUGAAAAAUUAAUGAAUAGAUCACCUGAUUAUUCAAUAAUGAAAACCUUAGGAUAUGAAUGUUAUCCUUUAAUUUGUUGCCUAGAGAGGGAAGAAAUAAAUUGAUGCAUAAAUCCAAAAUGUGUGUAUUUUUAGGGUAUGCUACUCAACAGAAAGGGUAUAGGUGUCUAGAAAUAGAGACUAAAAGAAUAAGAAUAUGUAGAAAUGUGGUGUUUAAUGAAGACUCUUUUCCUUUCACUGAAUUUCAAAAAUCAGUGGAUAUUCAAACUAAACCAAUGGUUAUAGAACUAGUAUCACAAUCAAGGAUACCCAUUAUAAGACUAAAUUCAAAUAUAAAUGGGAAUAAAAAUGAAAUUUCAAAUGAAACAUCAAGCUUAGACAGGAUCCAGUCUGACUCUCUGUCUAAUAUAAAUUCAAUUCCAAAUUCAUCUCAAAUUGAGAAUAAGGGGUCCAAUAUAGGCAAGAAUCAUUCUGAUUCACUACCUAACAAUGAUCUAACUCAAAGACCAAUGAUAACAAUGCUGGAUCGAGAUCCGAUGCUAUAAGGGGGGAUAAUAGCAUCUUUUCGAUUUAUGCAAGUUAAUAGCGGAAUUACCUGCACACACUUAAGUACACAAAUGGUUGUAUAAUAAUAAUAGUAUAAUAUUGUUAGCAAUAUAAUACUAUUAUAUGAUUUAAAAGAAUAUAAUAUUAUAUCUUAUAAUAUUAUAUAUAUUGGACUUGCCUUUUACAAUUGAAAUUUACUACAGUAUAUGAAUACGUAGUCAACUUUUCAGAUGGUGUUUUAUAAACAACUAUAGUAUAUGAAUACUAAGUUAUAUUAUAAACACAAGUUAUAUUAUAGAGUAAAUGAUCAGAUAACUGGAUAUAUUGAUAAGCAAGUAAAUGACCAGAUAACUGGAUAUAUUGAUAAGCAAGUAAAUGAUCAGAUAACUGGAUAUAUAUAUGAUAAGUAAAUGCUUGAACAAAUAUAUGAAUAAGGAUUUAAAGCAAUAAAUAUAACCUCAGAUAGUUGACCAGAUAACUGGAUGAGGGAUCUGCGUAAAGUAGUCAACCUCUGUAUUUGACCAGAUAACUGGAAGAGGGAUCCUUUUCAAUUAAGUGUUGUUUAGUUGUUUUUAGAUGAAAGAUAAAAACUAGAGUUAACAAAGAACAACACAAGAGAUUUAUACUGGUUCACCCAAACAAGGGCUAGUCGAGUCCCGACCAACUGUCGGAAUUCACUCGCCUAAAGGUUAUGGCAAAACCUUAGAGUAUCAAGGAACUUUUAAAAACCACUCUAAGCUUUAAGGCUACUUCGCUUAGGAACCAGUCUUUUACGGGUAGACUCAUACCUUAGAGUAUCAAGGGCACUCUUAAGAACCUCUAACUUUUGCGGGUAAAUUAGUACCUUAGAGUAUCAAGGAACUCUUAAAAACCUAGAAAUCUUUCAAGGUAGAUUCGACCUAAGAGUUUUCCCGGAAACUCUAUAAAACCAAACUAGAGCUUUAUGGUUGAGCUCGAAAACCUUCUCUCACACUUUGGUACUAUUGAGACAACCCUCUAAACCAAAUUGGACACACACAAGAGGUGAUUAGAGGAGUGGAAUAUUAAAGCAAACAACACUUCUUACUUGUAAAGAUGAACAAGAAGAUUAGAAGAAGAAGUUGGAGAGCUUUUGAAGCUUUGGAAAGCUAGGACACUUGAGCACUUGAAAGCUUGGAAGCUUGGAGGCAAAAACGUGUGGGCAAGUGUGGAGUGAAAGCUCUUGAGUUUGCUUGUAGUGUGGUGGGUGAAAAUGAGGGGAUUGCCCUUCUAUUUAUAGCCUUGGCCACUCAAUGUCCACCCUUGGAUCUUCAAUGGAUGGCUCCUUGACUUCUUACAAAAAUCCAAGCUUUGUCUUUGAUCUCAUCUUGAAUUCUUGGAUAGUGUGUUGGUCUUAUCUCUUUGGAUAGUGUGUUGUCCUUAAGAAUCUUAUCUUUAAAUAAUUCAACCAUGAAUAGUGUUUUGUCCCCUUGAAAUAUUAUACCUUGAAUAAAGUGUCAAAAGAUAAUAAUAAUAAUAUUCAUGGUAAACAUGUAAUUAUUCCAAAUAAUAAUAUUCAAGGUGAAAAUAUAAUUCUCCCAAUUUGACUUUUUAACUUUGACUUAAACCCUUAACUCAAAUGAUUAAUUAAUUAAGUGGAGUUAGGUUUAAUAUCGAUUGACUUAUUUACCCCUAUUGAUUAAUAGUGUAAUUAGGGUUUAAAUUGACAUGAUUAAAAUAUAAUCCUAUGUCGACAAUUUUGAUUCUACAUUCUCCCCCUUUGUCGAUGGCAUAUAUGUUUUAACUCAUGUCUAGUCAAUAUUCUAUUUUACCCUUAUGAGCAUACUCCCCCUGAAUUAUUGACCCAUAAUAUUCAAUUUAAAAGCCGUGGAUCAUGCAUGAUUUCUCUCCUUUAAAACAAUAAGGUAUCGACAAAGUUAAAAAUAGAUAUCUGUGAAGUAUCUCCCCCUUAAUGAUAGGACAUAUCUAAUUUGUGGAGAAAAUAAAAUUUCAUACCUUAUUGAGCUUUGAUCAUAAAUUCGAUUUGUGUGGUUGACCAAAUGUGACGUCUUGCUUAUAAGAGUGUUAGUCGAUCAUAUAGGAGAAAUAACAUGUAAUUUAUGCUCAUUGAUAAAAUAUUGGAUUGAAACCAAUUUUGAUAUACAUUAUAAGGCAAGUAUGAUAUGAUAAUUUAAAUUGCCUUGUGUUAAGAUCAUGCAAUGAAUAAUAAUCCAUGUGUGUGUUAUGGAUGAAGAUGAUCUUAACAUGUAUGGAUUAAAGAUUUUAUAAUGUUAUAAUCCAUAAGAUAUUAGUGAAUGAUAUGUAUAAAUCCAUAAUAUUCACUAAUUGCUUUAAAAAGAAAUUGAGCAUUUAAAAUUUUAAAAUCUAUGUCUUAGUGACAAAUAUAAUCAUGUAAAUAUUCACUAAGUUUUAAAAGAUUUAAAAUUUUCAUUUCAGUCCUUAAAGCCUUAGUAGCAAAACUUCACUUAAAACAAAAUUUCAUUUAAGCCCUUUGAAGUUAUGAUAAAUACUUAAAUUAAUACUUGAAAUAUUUCAUUUAAACCUUGGAAGUAUUAACUAUUUCUAAGCACUUUUUAAUUUGAAAACUUCAUGUAAAUAUUAAUUUUAAGUCCUUGAAGUUUUAACUAAAUAUUUAUUCACUGUAAAGAUAUCAUUUUGACCCUUAAGUUUUAGUGAAUCUAUUUAAAACUUAAAAAUUUCAUAAACGAUUUAUGUUUAAGUCCUUGAAGUUUCACAUAACUCUAUAUUCACUGAAAAAAUAUCAUCUUAAUCCUUAAGUUUCAGUGAAUCAUUUUAAACUUAGAAACUUCAAAAAUAAUUUAUGUUUUAGUUUCCAAGAAUUUCUUGGUUUGACUAAGCUAUGAAAAAUCGUUUUAUCUUGUAGUCUCUUUCUCAAAAGAGAGUUCUUUGAUUUCCCAUGUACUAACAUGACUUGUUAAGUUUAACAAGUAAUGAGAUUUUGAAACUAUCAUCUAAGAGCUAGCUAGGAUCUUAGCAAGGCUUGUAUCCAGAAUAAUAUUUAAUUUAAAACAUACCUUUUGUUGGUCUUCAACGCAUUCUUUCACUAUGCACGAUAGUCCAUGCUCCUAGCUGUCGUGAGUGACUAGUUGCGACAGGUUUGCUGGAUGAAGUUGCAGCAUCGAGGUUGCAGAAUGUGCAGACGACGAUUCUCAAUGCCAUGAGGUAAGGUUUGGAUUACCAAUACCAUGUGAUGUUGAUUUUGCUUAAAGUAGGAAAUAGUCUCAUGUAGUAUGUGUGCAACAUAGAAUUAAUCUUAUAAUUUUCUCAAUUAUAUGUAUGUGAUGACAUGGAAUAUGCAUGAUUUAAAUAGUUAUAUACAUAAGUCAAAAUUAGCUGUUUUGAUCAUCAUGUAUUUAAAUAUUUCAUAUCAUUAUGCAUGUAUAUAAUUCAUAGAUUCAUGCAUGUCAAAAGAUUCAUAAAUAAAUAUUAGCAUGCAUGUAUAAGAUAAAUCAUAGUAUCAUGCUAAGCUCAAACCAUGUAUCUUAUAUUUUUAAAGAACACAUACGUGUACAUGCAUAAUAUUGCAAUAUUUACUUUGCCAGACAUGCAUUUAUCAGAUAGUUAUUUGAAUCAUGUAGUUUCUAGUAGCAUGGUGAACAUGUAGGCAUGUAUUAACAUGAUUCUAUUGAUAUAUAUGAUAGUCAUGUAGUCAAGUUAAACUCUUCAUUUUAUGCAUGCAUAUGAAGAAUUAUAUGUAUAUACUUAGUCAUGUAAAUCUUAGAUUUGUAAAUUCAUGCAUACGUAUAUUCAUUUUAUUGUGAUUAUGAUCAAGGUUAUAAGUAUAAAGAUAUUCAGGUGAAGAAUACUAAAGCUUGAGAUGCAUUAACUCAUAACUAAUCAAAUUUCACUAAGCUCACAUAUACCCAUAGAUCUUCUGAUUUUUGAAUGAACUUCUUGAUCUAAGGGUUUAGUGAAGAUGUCAGCCAUUUGAUCUUCAGUAGAAAUAUAUUCUAGGCAGAUAUUUUUCUUUUCUACAUGAUCUCUAAGGAAAUGAUGUCUUACAUCAAUGUGUUUAGAUCUUGAAUGUAACACAAAGUUUUUUGAUAAACAAAUUGCACUCUUGUUGUCACAUUUAAGAGCUACUAUUUCUAAAGCUAUAUCGUAGUCGGAUAAUGUUUGUUUCAUCCACAAAAUUUGAGUGCAUGCAUUAGAUGCUGUCAUAUAUUCUGCUUCAGUUGUGGAUAAAGCAAUACUAUUUUGCUUUUUACAUGACCAUGCUACUAGUGAGCUUCCCAACAGAAAGCAUGCUCCACUAGUGCUUUUUCUGUCAGUCUUACAUCCACCAAAGUCAGCAUCACAGUAUGCUGUCAGUGUGAAUGAGUUGUCCUUAGGGUAGAAUAAUCCAAGUGUAACUGUUCCUUUGAUAUAGCUGAUUAUUCUUUUAACCGCUUUGAGAUGUGACUCUUUUGGGUCUGAUUGGAAUCUGGCACAUAAGCAGACUGCAAACAUGAUGUCUGGUCUGUUGCUGUUAGGUAUAGCAGUGAUCCAAUCAUUCCUCUGUAUUUCUUAAUGUCUACUGAUUGACCUUCAACAUCUUUAUCCAAUUUAAGUGUUGAACUCAUCGGAGUUGGCAUAGAUUUAGAUUCAGCCAAGUCAAAUUUCUUUAUCAAUUCCUUAACAUAUUUGACUUGACUUAGGAAUAUUCCAUUCUCCUUCUGUUUGACUUGUAGACCUAAGAAAAAAGUCAAUUCUCUCAUCAUACUCAUUUUAAAUUCGUCUUCCAUUUGUUUGGAAAAUUUCUUACAAAGAGUAUCAUCGGUUGAUCCAAAUAUAAUGUCAUCAACAUAGAUUUGGAUUAGAAUAAUGUCACUUUUGACAUUUUUAAUGAACAAUGUAUUAUCUAUACUCCCCAUUCUAAAUUCCUGAGAAAUGAGAAAGUUUCUUAGUCUUUCAUACCAAGCUCGGGGUGCUUGUUUCAGACUAUAGAGGGCUUUCUUAAGUUUAAGGAUAUGAUCAGGGUUUUUGUAAUCUUCGAAUCCGAGGGGUUGUCUAACAUAUACUUGUUCAUUGACUAUUCCAUUCAGGAAUGCACUCUUUACAUCCAUUUGAUAUAAUUUGAAAUCCUUGUAGCAUGCAAAGGAUAUGAGCAUUCUGAUAGACUCUAGUCUAGCUACUGGUGCAAAGGUUUCAUCAUAAUCAAUUCCUUCUUGUUGAUUGUAUCCUUGCGCAACCAGUCUAGCUUUGUUUCUGACUAUAGUUCCAUCUUCAUCCAGCUUGUUUCCGAAUACCCAUCUUGUUCAAUGAUUGAUGUAUCUUUUGGUUUUGGUACUAGUUCCAUACAUCAUUUCUCUCAAAUUGGUUGAGUUCUUCUUGCAUAGCUUGAAUCCAGUAGUUGUCGUCGAGGGCUUCAUCAACUUUCUUGGGCUCAAUUUGAGAGACAAAACAGUCAAGAACACUGUUUCCUUGAAUGGAUGAUCUGGUUUUAACACCAGCUUGAUGGUCACCAAUGAUUUGAUCAGUGGAAUGUGGGUUUCUGAGCAACCUGUUAGAUGGAGGCUCAAAGACUUCGAUUUCGACAUUGGUAGUUUCUUCAGUUGGAAUGAUGAUUUCUGGUUCUGGAACUAUUUCAUCUUCUUCUACAAUGGUUGUCUGAGUAAAUUCAUCAAAGUCAACGUGUAAUGAUUCGAUCAUUAUUUGUUUUUCUUUGAGAAGAAUUUUGUAGGCUUUGCUCCUUCUAGAGUAUCCUACCAGGAUACCUUCAUCAGAUUUCUGAGCAAAUUUGUCUUGGUUGCCUCUUGUUCGGAGAACAUAACAUUUGCAUCCAAAGACCUUGAAGUAUGAGACUUUUGGCUUUCUUCCAUUCCAGAUCUCAUAUGGAGUUUUGUUCAAGGUUUUUCUAAUAAUCACCUUGUUUAAUAUAUAACAGGCUGUGUUAACAGCUUCUGUCCAGAGAUACUGUGGUGAAUCAUGUUCUUGUAACAUGGAUCUACUCAUCUCUUGUAGAGUUCUGUUUUUCCUUUCAACAACUCCAUUCUGAGGGGGUGCUUGGGGAAAAGCAAAUUCAUGUUUUAUUCCAUGAGUUUUGCAAAAAAUUUCAAACUCAGAGUUCUCGAAUUCUCCUCCAUGAUCACUUCUGAUUCUUUUUAUGAGGACAUCCUUCUCAUUUUGUACACGUGUACAAAAUGAUGAGAACUCGUUGAAUGAGUCACUUUUAUUUCGUAAGAAGAAAACCCAAGUAAAUCUUGAGUAAUCAUCUACUAUUACAUACGUAAACCUUUUACCGCCAAGACUUUGGGUUUGGGUUGGCCCAAAUAAGUCCAUGUGUAGAAGUUCCAAAGGUCUGGACGUAGUAAUAUCUGUAAGGGAUUUGAAUGAGCUUUUAUGUUGUUUCCCUUUUUGACAAGCAUCACAGAGAUUACUUUUCUCAUAUGCUAUUUUAGGCAGUCCAGUCAUCAGUUCUUCUUUUGAUAGUUUGGAUAAUCGAGAAUAACUGGUGUGACCUAACCUUCUAUGCCAUAAAAUCUUUUCAUCACUUGCUGCAAUCAUGCAGAAGUCAUGAGUUGGCUUGGAGGGAUUAAAGGUUAUGGAAUAAGCAUUGUUUUUCCUAUAUCCUUUAGCAAUUAUAACUUCUUUGGAGUUAAUGAUUGAGCAUAGAUAUUUUUCAAAUUUAACUAUGCAAUCAUUAUCACAUAAUUGGCUUAUGCUGAUAAGAUUAUGUUUAAAGUCAUUAACUAAGUAAACAUCUCUAAGAAAUGGUCUAUCUAUAUUACCUAUAUUACCCCUACCUAUAAUGGUACCUUCGUUGUUAUCAGUGAACUUGACCUUCUUAGUAGUAGGCCAGUCGGUCAAGUCUGUCAGCAGACUUGAAUCUCCAGUCAUGUGCCUUGUGCAUCCACUGCCGAACAACCAUUUUGACACAUGUUUUUCCUGAAAGAGUUGAAUAACCUUUGGUACCCAUACUGAGUUGGGUCCAGAUGAAUUAACAUAGUUGAUUUGCUUAUAAUUUUUUAACUCAUCCUUGGUCAUCCAUUUUUGUUUUGGAUGAUUCAUCUUAGAUAGAUCUUUCUUUUUCUUAAGAUGAAUAGGUUUUCUGUAGCUAGAUUUUCUUACAAAAUAAUUAUUAUAAGUUAAAGCAUGUAAAUGUUUUUUAAUAGGUGCAUUUGAUUCAAACCCUAAGCCAAAUUUCUUUUGUCCUGAGCUUGAACCUUGCAAUAUGUCAUUUAGCUUAGAUGAACUAUUUAAGAAUUUUUCAAGAACAUUAUUCUUUUGACCUAUUCUUUUGAUUUGUAAUUGCAUAUCAUUACAUUUUUCAGAUAAUUUUUGUAUGGUUUCUACAUGCUCAAGUAUGAUUUUAUCCUUAGAUUCUAUUUCUGUAUUGAGCAUGAUUGUUUCUUUUUCUUUUAACAUAAUAUCUUUUUCAAAAUUAUCUAUUUUUAAUUCUAGCAAUUCAAUCUUAUUAUCAUCCAUUUCCUUAGGUUGAUUUUCUUCAGAUUCUAAAAUGUUAAGCAAUUCAAAGUUUUAACUCUUAAGUAUCUUAAUUUUUUCUUCAUCUUUGUUUAAUUUACUUGUGAGUUUUAGAUUUCUUUCUUUCAAUUGCAUGCAUUAUUUUUGUGAUUCUUCUAAUUCAAUAGAUUGAUCUAUAUGUGAUUUAUUCAUGCAUUCUAGUUUUAAUGACUUAGUUACUUUUUUUCAUUUUUAUAUUUUUCCAUUAAUUCUAGAUAUGCUUCUUCUAAAGAAUUAAAUCUAGUAUUUGCAAAACUUACCUCAGAGUUGCUUUCAUGAGCCAUGAGACAAUCUUCUUGAUCCGAGUCAGAGUCUGUUCAUUGUGCCUGAUUUGCUUUUUCUUUCUUAAGCAGAGGACAUUCCGGUUUGAUGUGUCCAGACUUGUCGCAUAGAUAACAGAUUGGUUCUUUUGACUCCUUGCUCAUUCUUCUGUCGAACUUCUGAUGACUUGACCUUGAGUCUUUCUUCUCUUUUCUCUUUUUCAGAUAUCUUCUCAGAUGAUUGGUGAUCAUUGCUAGAUCAUCUUCUGAUGUUUCAUUAUCAGAUUGACUUUUAAGAGCAAUAUCCUUUUCUUCUUCUUUAGCUCUAGAGAUGAAUCUUUCUUCUUCAUAAGCCAUCAGAUUUCCACAGAGUUCCACAACUGUAAGUUUGUUGAGAUCAUGAGCCUCUUGAAUAGAAUUCCUUUUGGAGUAGUAUUUGUUUGGAAGACUCCUCAAAAUUUUGCUUACUUGCUUUUUCUCAGUUACUGGAUCUCCUAGUCCAGCCAGAUCAUUAACUAUUUGUGAUAGUCUAAUGUUCAUCUCUGCGAUAGUCUCGUCUUCCUUCAUAGAGAAUCUUUCGAACUGAGAGGUAGCAUGUAACAGCUUGUUUCCUUUAACAUGAGAGGUUCCUUCAUGUAGAUCCUCCAAUGCUUUCCAUACCUUGUGAGCUGUAUCCAAAUAUCGAAUUUUGUUGUACUCAGAUUCAUUGAGUGCUCCAUAUAGAGCAUUCAAUGCUCUUGAGUUGUUGUUUUCCUUGAAGAUGUCCAUUUCUCUCCAAGUCUCUUCAUUGCUUGUUGGAAUUUCAUAAUCCUCUAAUAUGAUCUUCCAUACUCCAUUGUUGAUUGACUUCAAGUAUAAUUUCAUCUUGUUCUUCCAGAAGUCAUACUUUACUCCAUUGAACCUAGGAGGUUUGUUUGAUGCAAGACCAGUGUUGAAUUCAUCAUUUGGUGCCAUAGUUGUUGUUGUAAGAUGUUAGUCUAACUUCAACGGUACUUGGCUCUGAUACCACUUGUUGGAUCGAGAUCCGAGGCUAUAAGGGGGGAUAAUAGCCUCUUUUCGAUUUAUGCAAGUUAAUAGCGGAAUUACCUGCACACACUUAAAUACACAAAUGGUUGUAUAAUAAUAAUAGUAUAAUAUUGUUAGCAAUAUAAUACUAUUAUAUGAUUUUAAGGAAUAUAAUAUUAUAUCCUAUAAUAUUAUAUAUUGGACUUGUCUUUUUCUCUUAAAGUUUACUUCAGUAUAUGAGUCCAGAGUCAACUUUUAGAUAGUGUUUUAUAAACAACUGUAGUAUAUGAAUACUAAGUUAUAUUAUAGAGUAAAUGACCAAAUAACUGAAUAUAUUGAUAAGCAAGUAAAUGACCAGAUAACUGGAUAUAUUGAUAAACAAGUAAAUGACCAGAUAACUGGAUAUAUAUAUGAAAAGUAAAUGCUUGAACAAAUAUAUGAAUAAAGAUUUAAAGCAAUGAAUAUAACCUCAGAUAGUUGACCAGAUAACUGGAUGAGGGAUCUGCGUAAAGUAGUCAACCUCUGUAUUUGACCAGAUAACUGGAAGAGGGAUCCUUUUCAGUUAAGUGUUGUUUAAUUGUUUUUAGAUGAAAGAUAAAAACUAAAGUUAACAAAGAACAACACAAGAGAUUUAUACUGGUUCACCCAAACAAGGGCUAGUCCAGUCCCGACUAACUAUCGGAAUUCACUAGCCUAAAGGUUAUGGCAAAACCUUAGAAUAUCAAGGAAACUCUUAAAAACCUCUCUAAACUUUAAGGCUACUUCGCUUAGGAACCAAUCUUUUACAUGUAGACUCACACCUUAGAGUAUCAAGGGCACUCUUAAAAACCUCUAACUUUUACGGGUAAGUUAGUACCUUAGAGUAUCAAGGAACUAUUAAAAACCUCUCUAAGCUUUAAGGCUACUUCGCUUAGGAACCAAUCUUUUACAUGUAGACUCACACCUUAGAGUAUCAAGGGCACUCUUAAAAACCUCUAACUUUUACGGGUAAGUUAGUACCUUAGAGUAUCAAGGAACUUUUAAAAACCUCUCUAAGCUUUAAGGCUAACUUCGCUUAGGAACUAGUUUUUUACGGGUAGACUCACACCUUAGAGUAUCGAUGGUACUCUUAAAAAUCUCUAACUUUUAUGGGUAAGUUAGCACCUUAGAGUAUCAAGGAACUCUUAAAAACCUAGAAAUCUUUCAAGGUAGAUUCGACUUAAGAGUUUUCCCGGAAACUCUAUAAAACCAAACUAGAGCUUUAUGGUUGAGCUCGAAGACCUUCUCUCACACUUUGGUACUAUUGAGACAACCCUCUCAACCAAAGUGGACACACACAAGAGGUGAUUAGAGGAGUAGAAUAUUAAAGCAAACAACAUUUCUUACUUGUAAAGAUGAACAAGAAGAUUAGAAAAAGAAGUUGGAGAGCUUUUGAAGCUUUGGAAAGCUAGGACACUUGAGCACUUGAAAGCUUGGAGGCAAAAACGUGUGGGCAAGUGUGGAGUGAAAGUUCUUGAGUUUGCUUGUAGUGUGGUGAGUGAAAAUGAGGGGAUUAUCCUUCUAUUUAUAGCCUUGGCCACUCAAUGUCCACCCUUGGAUCUUCAAUGGAUGGCUCCUUGAUUUCUCACAAAAAUUAAUCCAAGCUUUGUCUUUGAUCUUAUCUUGAAUAGUGCUUUUCUUGGAUAGAGUUUGUUGGAGAAUCUUAUCUUUGUAUAAAUUCAAACUUGAAUAGUGUUUUGUCCCUUUGAAAUAUUAUACCUUGAAUAAAGUGUCAAAAGAUAAUAAUACUAAUAUUCAAAGUAAAAAUGCAAUUAUUCCAAAUAAUAAUAUUCAAGGUAAAAAUGCAAUUCUCUCAAUUUGACUUUUAACUUUGACUUAAACCCUUAACUCAAAUGAUUAAUUAAUUAACUGGAGUUAGGCUUAAUAUCGAUUGACUUAUUUAACUCCUAUUGAUUAAUAGUGUAAUUAUGGUUUAAAUUGACAUGAUUAAAAUAUAAUCCUAUGUUGACAAUUUUGAUUCUACAGAAUUCAUGACUCUUAGGAGUCAAAUAUUGGCCUACCCUGAACUUCCUUUAAUGAAUCAAGCUUUUUGCUUAGUUAUUAAUGAAACACGUAAUUUGCUACCAGGGGGCUCGCGGGGUUACGAGAUGAGCCGAAGGCUUUGGAGUCCACGACGCGCGCUCUACGUCAAUGUACCUGCAGAGAGGAGGGUAAUCGGUGACUCAGCUAGGGAGUUGGCUAUUCGGGCUCCUGAGUGUGCUCUGGUUGGAGUGUGUUGUCAAGUGUGUUGAGAGGAGAUGAGAAUGAGGACCCCCCAAGGGCCCCUUUUAUAGGGUCCUUGAGGCGUUUCUCAUUCAUUAUUCCUGGGGCUCACGCCAUUAUGGUGCCCCGGCCCAUUGAUGGUGUCAUAAUGACGCGGGCCAAGUCAAGUAACGCCUGAGAAUCGGCGACUCAGGGUGGAGUCAUCGAUUCUCCAAGAGCCAGGUUGGCAGUCUACCAGAACUGGCCAACUUGGCCUGGAAUCGGUGACUCGCCUCUGGAAUCGGCGACUUGGUAGUCCCAAUUGUCGAUUCCCAGUGUUGACUUGAGUACUUGACGUAGACGCUUGUCCGCAACCGUGGAGUUCUCCGGGGGUCCGACAUAAAGCGACGGAACCCUAGUUCUUAUUGAAGGACAUUGCUGGGAGUGACUGACGUAAUCAGACAUAUCUCACCAGUUAUACAAGAAGAAAAACAUAAAACUAAUUUUAAAGAAAAAUUGGGUGAGGAAGCAACUGUCUUGUUUGCAAAGAAGGUGAUCGUUUAGUAUUGAGUGCAUACCAGACAAUCCAUUACAAGUGUGUUACAGAUGUUCCUCCUCUUUUACAUCCAACCCCUAGGGGUAUUUAUACAGUUUCUUAUUGGACCAGACUUCCCAUUGUGGGUCAAAGCCCGACUCGGUGGCCCGAUGGGCGGGCUCGACCGACCCGGACGGGCUAAGACCCGUCGGGUAGAACGGCCCCGCCUGUCCUAUUUAACUUACUAGGCCUAUCAGAACUGGUCUUGGGUGGGCCUGGUCUGAUGGACUAGAGGUAUCAUCAGAAGGUUGAGAAAGAAAUAAGAAAAGAGGAUCCAAAGAAAAAGGGAAUGUAUAUAUAGCAAGAAUGGAAAGAAAUUAUAUACUAGAUAUUAUUGUGAUAAUUGUAAAUUUUUUGGUCAUACUAGAGAAGGAUAGAAAGAACACAUAAUAAAAAGGAUAGAAAGGAUGACUUCAAAAAAAAUAUCGCAAAAUACAGCAAAUCAGGCCACCACAUCCAUGAAUAUGCAAGGUCUGACCAGUGAAGAGCUACUGAUGCUCAAUUAAGGAUUUUUAAAAUAAAUCCUCUAAUAUAAUUUUUUUUUUAAUAUGUCAAAUUUUAAAAAUACUUGGAUUAUAGAUACCGGAGUUUCCCAACAUAUGACUGGGAACCUCCAAUAUUUUGAUAAAACCCCAAUAGGGGAUUAUGAGCACUUUGUCACCAUACCAAGUGGUGAAAUAUGUAAGAAAGUGACUUCUACUGGAAAUAUAACAAUAUCUAAAGACAUUAUACUUAAAAAUGUCUUAUAUAUUUUACAAUUCAAGGUUAAUUUAAUUUCAGUGAAUAGGGCAGGUUAACCUCUGAUUCAAAUUUGAAUGUCAUUUUUGAUCAAACUAAAUGUCAUUUUCAGGAAAGCAAAUCAGGGAGAGUGAUUGGACAGGGUAGAUGUCAAAAUGGACUCUAUUUUUUGAAGCCACAAUCCCCUGAAUUUGCAUACAUAGCCAUGGAUUUUGAGAUUUGACAUAAGAGGUUGGGGCACAUCUCAUUAGAGAAGAUGGAGCUACUUGUUAAAACUAACAAAAUAGAGUGUAAAUCUGUAAAUUCUAAAUCCAUUUACGAAUAUGGUUGUAAUAAAAUAGAUGAACAUGAAUACAUGAUGUAAUUUUGUUUGAAAAUAAACAUAAUAAUUCAGAUAUAAAUAAAAAUCUUGAUUUCAUAAAAGAAAAAUGUUAUGUUUGCCCACUUGCAAAACAAGCUAAGCUAAAAUAUAAAAAUAGUUUGUCAAAAUAAAAAAAAUCAUUUGAUUUAAUACACAGAUAUUUGGGAGAAAUUCUCAAUAACUACACAUGAUGGUUAUUCAUAUUUUUUAACUAUAGUUGAAGAUUUAAGUAGAGUAACUUGGAUUUUUUUAAUAAAAACCAAAAACAUGGUUUUAGAAUGUAUUAAAAAUUUCAUUAUAAAAGUCAAAAAUAUUUUUGACAAAAACAUAAAAAUAAUAAGAAGUGACAAUGAAGGGAAAUUUAAGUCAAAUAAUUUCAAAAUACUAUUAGAAAAAUAUGGGAUAGUACACUAAUACUUAUGCCAUAGUUUGGAGAAAGAAAACACAGCCAUUGUUUGGAAGUGGUCAGAGCAUUGCAUUUUCAGAGUGCAGUACCCUUAGAAUACUGGGGGGAGUGCAUCUUAACUGCUGCCUAUAUGAUAAUCAAUUCAUCCAAUACAUUUACCAAUUCAUCGAUACAUUCGUUCAUCAUUUGUCUUUACAUUUCAAUAAAUCUUUCUUCACGAUCAUGUUUAACCUCAUUUAGUCGUGUUAUCUCAACCUUCAUCGAUUUCAUUUAAUCCACAUUGCAGUUGCUACUUGUGGAUGUGUAGUCGGUCGUUGUUCUCUUUGAAAGCGACAAACACAAUUGAAUUUUGCCAAAUCCUAGAACAUGACCUUUCUUAUGAUUGAAUGUAUUCAUCCACUCCACUUCAUCUUUAUUAGAUUAUGGAAUAUUAGGUUGUUAUUUGUUGUAACCAACCCCACUCACAUUAUAAGGGGUGGUAUAAUUUUCAAGUGCAUAUAUAUUUACAAUAAUAAAGAGUAAAUGAUCUAUCGAUCAUUAACCAAACCUCUCUACUCUUUCCUUCAUUCUUCCUUCUCCAUUCAUCAACAAUGUUGCCCUCCUCCUUCAAUGACUCUAAAUCCAACAAUCUUCACCAACAUACAUGAUACAUUGGUGGAUCUUUCUACACUUUGAGACAUAAGAAUCUCGAGACUGCUUUCUCUCACGUUAAUUAUAAAUUUCAUAAUUAUAUUUAACAAACAAUUUAAAAAGUACCAGGAACGAUUCAACAACUAGAUGUGGCUUAUUAGUUUUAGGAUCUGUGUACUUUCAAGUACAUGUCUGUCCGACAAGUGUUUGUCCCACUUUCUUUGUCUUGUAUUAAAAAUAAUUAUUUAUCAAAUAGAAUCUUAAAUGGAAAUUUAUAAAUUACAUAAUUACCAUAUGAUUUAACACCUUGAUCCAUGGUAAACACAUGAAGUUGACUUUUCCAAAGAUAAUUUCUUCCACUUUUCAUCAAGUCAUGAGUCAACCAUUUAUUAAAUUAUAAGUUUAUUAAUUUAUUAUAGGCGAACAAGGAAGUGAAGGAACAACCAAUUCCUAUUACUAUGAACAAAAAAAUCUAACUUAAUUAUAGGUGGCCUGUAACUUACAAAAAAAUUUACAUAAAGUAUAGAAAUAAAAAGUAAAAAAAAAUGAAAAAGAAACUUAUUUACUCUUUCUUAUUAGCUAUGUAAUUUAGUUAUACAGUAACUAAAUAAAUUGCCUUAAAAAUUUGAUCUUUCAUACUUUCAUCAUAGAUGUUUUCAAAGAGUGACAACAACUCUUCUUGUAAUGUUCUGGAUCAAAAGAGAUUAAUGUCUUUAAUGACAUUUUUAAAGACUAUCUCAGGAGGCAUACUAACGUGUUGUCUAUAUCUUUUAUUUAUUUCCGUCCAUAUAUGUCACGACAAACACUCAAUAACAUUUCAUAGUAGCCUUCAAAGAGGACAGUGGUGCGUAACUUUUUUGCACAACCUUCGUCAUAUCCCCCAAUCUGAUAUCUGGACUGGAUUGGGUGGAAACUGGAAGUUGGUCGUCAGAAAAAUCGCAUGCAUGGGUUUAACCAUGAAAAGGUUAGUCACUUUUAGAUAAAAAAAAUCAUCUACAUGCGACUAACUCAAAUACCUUGUUGUUAGGGUGUCAAACGAGCCGAGUUUUUGCUUAUAGAACCAGGUUCGGACUCGACUCGUUAAAGAGUUAUUCAGGCUCGGACUCGAGCUCGCCGAACCUGGUUUGGUCGAACGUAACUUACAAGUUAAAAGAAAUAAUUUGAAGACAUGAAUGAUCAAAUCAGUGAUCUCUUGCAUGUUAAGCAAACGUUUUACCAUCUAUGCUAUAUCUCCACUCUCUUUAAAUAUAAUAUAUUUUUUUAUUUUUCUAUAUGUUGGUGUGAGGGUUCGCCGGAGCUAGCUCACCGUCCAACCUAGUACAAGUCUCUCUCUCAGAAUUAUCAACCCCUCCCCCAGUUGGACCAGGGGAGGUAUUUAUAGCCUUCACUUGCUGUCGUUGGGCCUCGUGGGCUCGUGCCCUCGGGCCCGUCCGUCUGGGCCGGCCGGGCUGGUUCGGUCCAUGGGCCGCGGUCCAUGGUACCAACAGUACUCCCCCCCUUCCUUGGCAGGCCUGGGGGCCUGGGGCCGUCCACCCCUCUUUCGUCCCCCACCCACUUUCAUUAAAGUUCCUCGGUUCCCGGGCCCAUCCUUCUUUACUUCUCUAUAAAUAAGCUGCCUGAGUCCCCUAUUUUUUGCAUCCCCUCUCCUUUCCGCUAUGAGUGCUCGAGACAUCUUUGAGGAGUAUGGUCGCGAAGUGCAGCUUCAGCAUGCCACCUGGGCCCUGUGUCUGCUGUCGCCUACUGGUGUUCCCAAUAGUGUUGCCGUGGCUGAGACUCAGCGCCUCAAUGCCGUGUUGAUCGACGUCCACCGUCGCCUCUCCCAGAUUCGCCGCUCCGACAUUAUCGCGGAAUUUCCUCCCGUCACCUACCCUGAUACCUCGGGCUCUGCUGGCACCUCGCGUGCUUUCCGCGCGCAAGGUACGAUCGUCGCCCCCGUUGCUGUCGCCGACUCCGCUCCUCCUCCAAGGCGUUGUCGGCCGCGUGGCCCUCGUCGUUCCCGCGGGUCCUCGUCCCUCUCGGCCAAUGACCUGCGUCACUUCCUGUCGGGGUCCUCGAAGCCGGCCCCUUAAGCCCGUCUAGGGGACGUCCGCGACCGCGACCACGUUCAUCCGGGCUGUGGGUCUGCCUUUACGGGACGACGUCUGGGGCGCGCCUCGUUCUUCUUCUCUCCUAUUUCUUUUUUGUAUCCGGAUUAGCUGUUGUUGUGCGUUGUGUACUUUUUCCCGCCGUGCCGCCGGCCGUUUGUAACACUUGCUUUAAUUUAAUGAAAAAUGCCUUCGUUUUUUUUUCUUUCGUUUUGACUGUCUUCGCACGUCCGUGCAGAUUCGCGCUUCUCGGCGUCUUCUGUCGACGUUGCCCGCAUCCUUCUCGAGCUCUGCCCUCGUCCGUCGCGCCGGGUCCCCUUUCGCCGACUCGGGCGUCGGCUCGUUACGUCGUCUCGUUGGUGGGGUCUGCCUGUGGGCCCGUCUGGACUCCCCCCCCCUCGUUCGGUCGUUGGACACCGCCGAGCCUACGUCGGGCGCUUCUCCCCCGCCUCGUCGACCGCGUCGGUCCCUAGCUUUCACCCUGGCCUCCGACGGACCGGCUCCUGGGCUCCCUCGGGAGCCUCCCGGCCCAUCCGAUCCUGACCAAUCCGGGUACGCGACGCUUCGUCUUCCGUGCCCCCCUGAACCCUUAUAUAAACCUCCCUUUGCCUCUCGCGACUGACUUUCUUUCCCUCUCUUUUUUUUUCUCUCCCACCUUCUCUCCCCAGGUUGCUAAUGGCCUCCGCCUCCUCCCCCGACUGCGUCCGGGGCGCAACAGCUGAAGCCCGCAAUCUGGUCUCGACGCUUUUCGUCGCCCCCUCCAGCAAAGACCCCCUAUCCACCGUCGGGGUUGACGCGAUCCGGGAGGCGUUGGCGAAGAUGGGCCAGCCGGAUCUGCCCUUUACCGUCGCCGGUGACCGCCUUGCCUCCGAUCCGCCGCCGGGCAUGGUCGCCCUUUACACGCCCUUUGCUGAUGCCGGUCUCGUUCUCCCGCUUCCCCCUCUGGUAGCCGAGGCGAUGUACUACUACGACGUCGCAAUUUCUCAGUUUCCUCCGGCUGCCAUCGACCGCCUGGUGAUUUUCGACCUUCUCUUGCGUCGCGCCGGCUGCUAUGUCUCUCUACCGGUCUUCCUGACAUGGUUCACGAUGACCGCCAUGACCACCGACACUCGCCGUGUGUUAGUCGCUCAACGAUCCAGCGGCGCCCUCUUCGACCAUCUGGUCGACCGGUCUCACCACUGGCGGGACCGCUUCUUCUUCGUCCCCGUCAGCGCCCUUGAGACGUCAGAGUCGGGCGUGAACAUCCCCACGCGUUGGGCUCUGUUAACGUCACUGAAGACUAGGACCGCCGCUCCUCCUCGAGAUAGCCUGGAGCCCAUGGCCGCUCUCACUCAUGACGUUCUCGUCGAGAUUUAUCGCCACGGGCCCGUCAACGCCCGGACGCUGGCCUCCACUUGGGCCUACGAAGGCCACCUGGCGUUGCCUGUGAGGACGCCCUACUUUCGGGACGGCCCGCCCCGACGUCCGAAGAAGAGGCCGAUCGACGAAGUUCAGUUCGAGACUCCAGCUACUUCACCUCCCAUCCCAACUCUCGUGGCCGGGCUUGACGCUUCUGCCGGUUCGGACGCCACGGACGCCGGCCUUCGAGACAGCCGGUCCGACCGACGACAAAGGAAAAAAGCUCGGGCCGAGAAACGGAAGUCGGUCGUCGCUUCCAUGGGGCCGAUCCAUAUUGAGGAUUUGGACGCUUCCGACAACAGCCCCGGAGCCAGCCACUCUAGCCUUCCGCCCGUCGGAGCCUUUGACCACCUCUUUGCGUCCGGGUCGGAAGGCGAGUUCUUUGACGCCGAGCCCUUUAAGACUGUCAUGAAGGAUCUUCAGAAGACGCUCGACGGCUGCACCGCCCCCAUCGAUCCCCUGACCCUCUUGCCGCGCCUUGGUGGGAUCCUCAAGCAAAAACUUGCGGACGUUCGUUCCUUGAUGACGCCCGAGGAUGAAUACGUUCGACUGCGCGCCUGUCCUCCCUCGGCCGUCGACCUCGAUCUGCACCAUCACCUGCUGCAACUUUCGGUCCUCUCCCAGGUUCGGCUGGAACAGGGCGCCCUGGUGGCGGACUCCAAACGCAGCGGUUGGCCGACCUUGAUGCCUCGAGGGCCGACCUUGCCGCCUCGAGGGCCGACCUUGAUGUCGCGCGGACCGACCUCGAUGCCGUGAGGACCGAGCUGGACGCGGUCAACCGUAGAUUUUUUAUAGUGUGACAGAAAGAGAGAGCUAAGAUUAGGUGAGAAUUGAAAUAUAUAUAAGAUAAGAUCGAAUCGAUGAGAUAUUCAUAUAAUUUAACAGUGAGGUCAGCAGAGAUCGAACAACCUUGAAACAAUAAGUAUACUGGGGAGAGUCAUCUUGCACUCUUUCCAGUCGGUGACGUCAUCUUGGCUCCAAUGCCUGAAAUUCCCAUCGACAGCGGGGAUUAGGUACGGUAAAAGGGAUGCAGAGAACAACCCGAGAGUGCUACACGAACUCAACCACAGAGGUAUUAGCAGCAUUCAGAGAAGGCGAUAGGCUCCCCCAUACCGCAGCGAAGAAAGUGCACAAGCCCGGACCAACAUCCCCUACGUUGGUGGUCAGUUUGGGAAACAUAACCGUAUGGAUAGGGUAAUAAUACUAAUGAGAUUGAGUACUUUAUAAAAAAUUUAUGUGAGUUUAAAUGUAGAGACUUGGGCAUUCUAAAAUAUUUUCUAGGGAUGGAAAUUAAAUAUAAUCAUGAUGGCAGUAUUGAUAUGAAACAAUCAAGGUAUGCCUUAAAUAUCUUGUCAAAAUAUAAUAUGUUGCAAUGCAAACCUUCCAACUCACCAGUUACCCCAAAUUCAAAACGUAGGAAAGACAGUGGAGAUCUAUUAACAGACAUCACAAACUGCAGAUCGAGCUCUAGUAGGCUCUUUGCAGUACCUGUCAUAAACAAGACCAGAUCUAACCUAUGUCAUAAAACAGGUAGCUAAGUUUAUACAUGAACCAAGGACAGAACACCUAAUAGCUACUAAGAAGAUUUUAAGAUGUACAUAAAGGGAACCCUAAGUAAUGGAUUACAUUUCAGAAAACACAUCACAACAGAAUAAGAUAAUAGGAUACUGCGAUGCUGAUUUUGCUGGAGACUUAGACUCCAGAAAAUCAACAACCCGAGAGUGCUCCACGAACUCAACCACAGAUGUCUUAGCAGCGUUCAGAGAAGGCGACGGUCUCCCUCAUACCACAACGAAGAAAGUGCACAAGCCCGGACCAACAUCCCCUAAGGAGGAGGUCAGUUUGGGAAACAUAACUGUAUGGAUAGGGUAAUAAUACUAAUGAGAUUGAGUACUUUAUAAAAAAUUUAUGUGAGUUUAAAUGUAGAGACUUGGGCAUUCUAAAAUAUUUUCGAGGGAUGGAAAUUAAAUAUAAUCAUGAUAGCGGUAUUGAUAUGAAACAAUCAAGGUAUGCCUCAAAUAUCUUGUCAAAAUAUAAUAUGUUGCAAUGCAAGCCUUGCAACUCACCAGUUACCCCAAAUUCAAAACGUAGGAAAGACAGUGGAGAUCUAUUAACAGACAUCACAAGCUGCAAAUCGAGCUUGAUGGUACCCCCAAGUUACCAGCCCAGGCCCAUGAAGAAGUCUAGGAGCGAGGCCCAGCAAGACGAAUAGAAGAGAGCCCAAGUUACGCCGAAGACAUUAGCCCGUUCGGAUGAUCCGGGCGGCCCCAUCAGCCCUACGGACAUUUGGUCCAGGCCCAGCAGGACGAGUAGAAGAGAGCCCAAGUUACGUUGGACAUUAGCCCAUCCGGAUGAUCCGGACGGCCCCAUCGGCCCUACGGACAUUUGGUCCAGGCCCACCAGGACGGCUGGAAGGACCCAUUAGCUUGAGCAGUUAACAUCCCAAGGGAGGCAUCCCAAGUAUAUCAGAUACCGAACUCGUUAGGAAAUUGUAUAAAUACCCCUAGGGGUGAAGUGUAAAAGGGGGGGAUCACUUGUAAUACAUUAGGAAUACACUUGUAAUACACUGGUGAUGAUACGGUAAUAGAGAGGAUCGUCUACCUUUCUAGUGUGACACGAUCACAAGUAAAUGACCAGAUAACUGGAUAUAUAUAUGAUAAGUAAAUGCUUGAACAAAUAUAAGGAUUUAAAGCAAUUAAUAUAACCUCAGAUAGUUGACCAGAUAACUGGAUGAGGGAUCUGCGUAAAGUAGUCAACCUCUGUAUUUGACCAGAUAACUAGAAGAGGGAUCCUUUUCAAUUAAGUGUUGUUUAGUUGUUUUUAGAUGAAAGAUAAAAACUAGAGUUAACAAAGAACAACACAAGAGAUUUAUACUGGUUCACCCAAACAAGGGCAAGUCCAGUCCCGACCAACUGUCGGAAUUCACUCGCCUAAAGGUAAUGGCAAAACCUUAGAGUAUCAAGGAAACUCUUAAGAACCUCUCUAAGCUUUAAGGCUACUUCGCUUAGGAACCAGUCUUUUACGGGUAGACUCACACCUUAGAGUAUCAAUGGCACUCUUAAGAACCUCUAACUUUUACGGGUAAGUUAGUACCUUAGAGUAUCAAGGAACUCUUAAAAACCUCUCUAAGCUUUAAGGCUACUUCGCUUAGGAACCAGUCUUUUACGGGUAGACUCACACCUUAGAGUAUCAAGGGCACUCUUAAGAACCUCUAACUUUUACGGGUAAGUUAGUACCUUAGAGUAUCAAGGAACUCUUAAAAACCUCUGAAAUCUUUAAAGGUAGACUCGACCUAAGAGUUUUCCCGGAAAUUCUAUAAAACCAAACUAGAGCUUUAUGGUUGAGCUCAAAAACCUUCUCUCACACUUUGGUACUAUUGAGACAACCCUCUCAACCAAAGUGGACACACACAAGAGGUGAUUAGAGGAGUGGAAUAUUAAAGCAAACAACACUUCUUACUUGUAAAGAUGAACAAGAAGAUUAGAAGAAAAAGUUGGAGAGCUUUUGAAGCUUUGGAAAGCUAGGACACUUGAGCACUUGAAAGCUUGGAAGCUUGGAGGCAAAAACGUGUGGGCAAGUGUGGAGUGAAAGCUCUUGAGUUUGCUUGUAGUGUGGUGAGUGAAAAUGAGGGGUUUACCCUACUAUUUAUAGCCUUGGCCAUUCAAUGUCCACCCUUGGAUCUUCAAUGGAUGGCUCCUUGAUUUCUCACAUAAAUCCAAGCUUUGUCUUUGAUCUUAUCUUGAAUAGUGCUUUUCUUUGAUAGAG
rnacentral:lncRNA from 1 species